GUAGUCUCGCACAGAUGCAUAUCAAUAAGCGGAGGAAAAGGAACUAACAAGGAUUCCCCUAGUAACGGCGAGUGAAGCGGGAAGAGCUCAAAUUUGAAAUCUUAAAGGGUUUCCCUUUACGAAUUGUAGUUUAAAGAAGUGUUUUCUGUUGAGGUUUUGGUAGAAGUUCUUUGGAAUAGGACAUCAUAGAGGGUGAGAAUCCCGUAUUUGACCUUUACUUUCAACUUUGUGAUACACUUUCAAAGAGUCGGAUUGUUUGGGAAUGCAGUCCAAAAUGGGUGGUAAAUUUCAUCUAAAGCUAAAUAUUGGCGAGAGACCGAUAGCGAACAAGUACCGUGAGGGAAAGAUGAAAAGAACUUUGAAAAGAGAGUUAAACAGUACGUGAAAUUGUCAAAAGGGAAGCGUUUGACACCAGUGUUGUUUUUCUGAAAAUCAAUUAAAGAACUGUUUAUGCUAAGCUUGUUUAGACUUUAUCAGCUAAUCUGUUUAGUUUUGAGCUUUUCUUUAAUGCACUUUUCAGUUAACAAGUCAACAUCAAUUUCUUUUGCUGUAAAAAAGCUUGAGGAAGGUGGCUUGAGAUUCGUCUUAAGUGUUUAUAGCCUCUUGCCUAUGCAGUCGGAGAGAUUGAGGUCUGCAGCGUAGAUCCUUCGGGGCUAAAUGCAUUUGUGCUAAGUUAUAACAUUUCAUAGACAACUUGUUGACUAUGAUUUGUCUUGUAGCUUACUCGCUUAUGUUAUUUUACCUACGCUUAGGAUGUUGACAGCAGUAUAGACUGU
rnacentral:rRNA from 1 species